AUAUUGCACAAUGGGGGAAACCCUGAUGCAGCGACGCCGCGUGAGGGAAGAAGGUUUUCGGAUUGUAAACCUCUGUCCUCAGUGACGAUAAUGACGGUAGCUGAGGAGGAAGCCACGGCUAACUACGUGCCAGCAGCCGCGGUAAUACGUAGGUGGCAAGCGUUGUCCGGAAUUACUGGGUGUAAAGGGAGCGUAGGCGGGAAUACAAGUUGGAUGUCUAAUCUACCGGCUUAACCGGUAUUCGCAUUCAAAACUGUAUUUCUUGAGUGAAGUAGAGGCAGGCGGAAUUCCUAGUGUAGCGGUGAAAUGCGUAGAUAUUAGGAGGAACACCAGUGGCGAAGGCGGCCUGCUGGGCUUUAACUGACGCUGAGGCUCGAAAGCGUGGGUAGCAAACAG
rnacentral:rRNA from 1 species